rnacentral:rRNA from 1 species
GCAAUGGACGAAAGUCUGACCGAGCAACGCCGCGUGAGUGAAGAAGGUUUUCGGAUCGUAAAGCUCUGUUGUAAGAGAAGAACGGGUGUGAGAGAGGAAAGUUCACACUGUGACGGUAUCUUACCAGAAAGGGACGGCUAACUACGUGCCAGCAGCCGCGGUAAUACGUAGGUCCCGAGCGUUGUCCGGAUUUAUUGGGCGUAAAGCGAGCGCAGGCGGUUAGAUAAGUCUGAAGUUAAAGGCUGUGGCUUAACCAUAGUACGCUUUGGAAACUGUUUAACUUGAGUGCAGAAGGGGAGAGUGGAAUUCCAUGUGUAGCGGUGAAAUGCGUAGAUAUAUGGAGGAACACCGGUGGCGAAAGCGGCUCUCUGGUCUGUAACUGACGCUGAGGCUCGAAAGCGUGGGGAGCGAACAGGAUUAGAUACCCUGGUAGUCCACGCCGUAAACGAUGAGUGCUAGGUGUUAGGCCCUUUCCGGGGCUUAGUGCCGCAGCUAACGCAUUAAGCACUCCGCCUGGGGAGUACGACCGCAAGGUUGAAACUCAAAGGAAUUGACGGGGGCCCGCACAAGCGGUGGAGCAUGUGGUUUAAUUCGAAGCA